CUUCUGUCCUCUCUGGUCUUAAUGCGAGAACCUUAAUUGGUAAAGUAUCAAAGAGGGGGGCUACUCUUCUGUUCGCGCGAGCGCGUCUCGAGCUGACGUGAUACCGGCGGCCGCGCCUUCAGAUUGUAAAGAGUGUGAUCAAGUCAACCUAGAUCAAGACAAGACAGGCAGAGAUCUUCUGGCAGCAAUAGAAAGACAGAAAGAUAUCAGUGGAGAGUAAAAGAAAAUAGCCACAUGCAAAGAAAAGGUGUCAACAAAGCCAGGAAUCUAAGUGCGAAUAGUCCAAAAUCUUCCAUACAUCAGGUGCUUCAGACUAACAAAACAUCCCAGGAACGUGUGGCUCUGUGGAAGGAUGGAUAUGAUCAUUGGAGGGCAGAGAGUCCUGUUGUUAACUGUAUUAGCUGAAAAACAAGGAUGAUAGCUGAGCUCUGAUUCACCACCAUUCUGACACAGGCAGAAGCAAACUGAAGGCCGAAAACAAAUCAAUCAAAUUUAGUUUUCCCUGAGGACGUCAGGUUGAUGUUCACGGCCUUCAAGGACUGUGCUUGAGAGGUUCAAGUCGUAUCAUACGGGGACACUAUCAACAACCACUGACAGACAGAAUAACAAGAUGGUUCAAGAUUGCAUUUCACAAACAGAGACAUUCUGGUCUGCAGAGGUCAAAUUUAGGCUACAUUAAAACAGCGAUAGUGCUCAUUUGUUGUUCACAUCAUCUCUUUUUAAUGUGGCAAAUAUUAGAUUGCUGUGUGAACCGAUCACGGUCCUGAACUGACCUGCAUGUGCAAAAGAACGAUAAUGAGACGCUAUGAUUGUCAUACGGAAGUAAACACGGAGGCCACUCGGUAUCGGAAGCGCUUCAGAGGCCACUGAUGUAAGCGUUUACAUGUUCAUUUAUAAGGUGUUGUGGCAUGGAAGCCAGCGGAUUUGUGAGCAGGUGAUAAAAAGGACUAAGAUGAAGAGAGAGCAAAGUUUUUAAAUAUUUAGCUCGUAUAGAGCAGUAAUUGUAAUAUUUAUGUGUUUUACACCUCACUGCUUCUCCAACUGUAUAUCAUAUUCACAGCGUGAUCAAAGAACUACCCGUAUGUAAAAUCUUUGGGGUGACUCCCGUCAGUGCCAAAUCAUGACGAACAUUGAUCUAGAAUGAUGUAAAGUUCAGACUGAUGCUGUAUUGCAAAACAUCUGACCUGUUUUAGAUGUAGGACCACAUAUGGAAGUGGCCCAAAUCAGAAUCAAAAAGAUCAGAUUCCAUGGGAAUUGUGCUCUUCACACUGCAUGAAUAAUAUAAUGAUCUGAGUCACAUAUCAGCAAAAAAAUUGGAUUUGGGCCACAUUUUCCUGCAACCUGAACCUAACCUUAAACACUUGAAUAAGUUGUUGUCACAAGACAAAACUAUAUUAGUAGGAGGUUUUACGGCCAUUGAAUACUUUUUAGAGACAGAAGCUCACUUUGACAUCAGUUCAGCUCUCAAUUUAGUUUAUAGGUAUGCCAAACCACUGCAUUUAUCUCAGUCCUUUUCAUCUUGCCUAUUUUUCCUGCCUCCAACACAUGAAAUUCAAGAACUGACUGUUUACUUGCUGCCUAAUACAUUCCACCCAUUAACAUGUUCCAUUGUAACGAUAUAAUCAAUGUUCACUUCAAUCAUUGGAUUUAAUGUUGUGGCUAAUCAGUGUAUACAAUUUUUAAUUUAUUUCAUUUCAUUUUAACUCUUUUUUACUGUUUAAUCUUAUGUUGUGUCGUCUUCACAAGUUAAAGAUUAGAGGAUGUCUCCAUCUCAAGGUUUUCAGAAUUACAGGACAGUGUUGUGUAGGAGUCAUUCUUUUUUUUUUUUGUCUUUAUAGUGCUAAAGUCAAGAGAAAAACACAUCUGCAUCAAACUUGGGGUUAAUUAGUGUGGAGAAAGUCAUCCUACAUACAACACUACACUUAUGUGUUUAAAGACACACACUAUAGACACCAGCAGUCACCUACAAACAUGUCUGAAGGCAGUGAAAGAGUCUCUACCAUCUGUUACUGUUUGAGAGGAUAUUACAGCAGAGUGAGUCAGAGUCGAAAGCUCUAGAAGUGUGUAAUAGGUGUCAUCAGUUCCAGCGCUUUAUACUGUGGCUUUAUUCUUCACUGCACAUCACAGAAAACAGAACGGCCUUCUGGUUGACUGACUGUACAUGGAUAGUCACUCUGAUCUCACAGGCAGUUCAAGUACAAACACACACAGAAAUGCCGGAACAUUACAGUGCAUGGCCAAGGAAAAACUAUAUUAAUCAGUGUUGAUAUCUUUGAUCUUAACUAGGGUUGUUCCGAUUCCGAUACUAGUAUCGGAAAUUCCACCGAUACCACAAAAAAUUCUGGCAUCGGUAUCGGCGAGUGCUUGAACCCAUGUACCGAUCUGAUACCAUUCUUAAACAAGACCUAUAGUUAUGCGCGCUAGCUUUGCUUAAUGCUGCAAAUCAGAAAUAAAUUCUU